rnacentral:rRNA from 1 species
UACGUAGGGGCAAGCGUUGUCCGGAAUAAUUGGGCGUAAAGGGCGCGUAGGCGGCUUUAUAAGUCUGGAGUGAAAGUCCUUCUUUUCAAGGGAGGAAUUGCUUUGGAAACUAUAGAGCUUGAGUGCAGGAGAGGUUAUCGGAAUUCCCGGUGUAGCGGUGAAAUGCGUAGAUAUCGGGAGGAACAUCGGUGGCGAAGGCGGGUAACUGGACUGCAACUGACGCUGAGGCGCGAAAAGUGUGGGGAGCAAACAGGAUUAGAUACCCGGGUAGUCCCUGAGCGGGCU